AAGGGCAGUUUGCUGAGGGCAAAGUCAUAAGGCAAUCUUCCCAAGCAUCCUGGGUACCAUCUAUCACCUCUGUGUUCAGACCAUGCAUAAAAACCUGCAUUACAACUUAUGGGCUGGAGAGACAGCAUCUGACCAAACCCCUCCUUAUGACAAGGCAACAGAAAAGGAAAUGGCUGCAGUCUGAUUAAAGCCAGCCCACUGAAUUACGUCAGGAUCCAUGAUACGUCAUGCCUCAUCCUGUGCAGAGACAAACUAGACCAGAUCUCUGCCUCCAAGCACAGCAGAGACACAUGGGCUGAAUAGCUGAACAGGUACCAGAUGACCAGAAGAGAAGAGUCCCCCAAGUUAGAUAAUGUACUGAUGAGAAAGAUUCAGAAGAUGGAUGCCUUCACCACACACGGCUAGCAAACGGCCAAGCAGGUGUCAUCAGCGGUGCGGGCUACCAUAUACCAUGUACAAAGCGGCAUCCAAUGUGGGUUCUUUCGUUCCAAAAUCCCUGUUAAGGGAUUCGGGAAGUGGGGAAAGAAUUUCAGCUGACUACUGUCAUCGGAAAACCUCACUGCUGGGGAGAGUAGCAAGUCACCAGUCAACUGGAAUGGUAACAGAUUGGACAGCUGGGAAAGUUAUGCCCUCAGACUUAGAAGCUAUAGAGCAGGGGUUCUGCAGUGAAGACAAGAAUGCUCAAAACAUGAACAUUUGUACUAAUCUGGAAGUCUUUUCAAGCCAUUGGCAGGAGCAGUCAUCAUAAAUUAUCCUGGAGACAGAGAGGCUGAGCAUCCUCCCCACCUAUGGGGCUUUGAUGCAGCUAACAGGGCA
rnacentral:lncRNA from 1 species